GUCUGCAUCUAUACCCACCUGAACAUGCCCAAUCUUGUCUGAUCUCAGAAGCUAAGCAGGGUCAGGCCCAGUUACCACUUGGAUGAGUGAAGUGGCCC
ensembl:rRNA 5S_rRNA 5S ribosomal RNA